AACAAGGCACGACCCAAACCUCCAACCAGCUGGCAGGAGGUGGGAACACCCCUUACUCAAGAAGGGUGCUGAUCUUUGGAACUGUCCCACAGAGCUCCUUUCUGGCUCCAACAUGGGAGACUUGGAAAGCACUUUGUGAUCUUCCCUGCUCUUCUCUUUCGUACCUCUGAGGUCAUGGUGUGAAGGAGAAAUGCAGGGAGGAUUGAAAAGCCAUUUCCCACACCUCCCCAUUCCACAUCCCAUGUUGGGGCUUUGACAGUUGUCUGGGAAAACUUACCUGUCCAUUGUGUCAUGUGAUAAUGAUGUCAUGUGAUUGACAAGGGGGUUGCCCCACCCCUUGUCAAAGUUGACCCAUAGAGUGGUGUGCCAAAAGGUUCUCUAUCUCUGGUAUAGACAUAUCUUUUUACCCAGGUUUGUCUGACCCACAAGUUCAGUCCCUUAUGAGACCCUCUUUUCACCAGAAGUCUCAUUGGUACAGAAUGCAGGCGGCCAGUUCCAGCUCCACAGGGUUCCCAGUUGGAGCCUGGCUGUACCUUACAACAGCAUGAGCAGAUUCCCUGUGAAAGAUACAUGGUUUGACUGCUUUUUAUUAGGUGGGAAAUCUCAGCUUACUGACCAUUAUCAGAGGUACAAUAUAUCUACCCUCGGAUUUUAUACCCCAAGUUAAGUUAAGGAAGGCAAUGGAGCUAUAACGUCUAUUGCUCAAAACGUCUGCCACUAACCCCUCAAACAAGCUGAUAAAAGGUUCUGCUCUGUGAUUGAUGGCAUCACUUUUAAUAACUCUGUCUCAGAUCGAAUCUCUGAAACCAGGCAACAGAGGCAAGUGUUAUGUACCAUCAAGCUUUCAAGAUGCAACCUGUAAUGUGGCAGCAGAAAGUGAUAUGGCCCAGCCAGAUUCCCACCCCCAGCCAUUAACUAACCUGGCUAUGAUGUCACAAAGUCCUGGAGACAAGGAGAGUGGAUAUUGGGGGUGGGGGAGCUUAAAAGCAAUUGAGGCAGAAUAUAAUUUUAUUUACUUACAAUAUUUAUUAGUACAAGGCCAAUGUAUGCACCCUAAAUGGUUUUGAUGAGCUGGGUGGUUGGGGCUAAAGGGGCUUAAGAGCAAGUCAUUAUUAAUCUGUGGGAAGGCAAAGUCUACCUACAUACCCAUAUAUAUAUUGGGUGGGGAGCUCAAUUUUGAGAGGAGGUGGCAGAGGGUUUCAAGUUGCUUUCUAUCCAUUGCCUACAGAAUCAGGGCAAGUUUGUGGGGUGAAGGGAGCCUGACAGAUUUGGGGCCACUAGGAGAUGGGACUGGCUUAACACUUCCCUGGGCCUUCGUCCUAGUCAGCCUUCAUCAUCAUCAUUGAUGUCAAUCUCACCUCAGAUGGACAAGGCGGCGUAUAGAGGAGUGCUUUGGCAGGUGAUCUCAAAUAACGGAUAAGGUGUGCAUCUUCAGUUACUUGGGUUCCAAGCUGUUAAAGGUUUUAGCAGCACCUUGAAUUGGACUCAGAACUGGACAGCUAACCAGUGUAGGUCUUUUAGAAGUGACAAGACAAGAUGUGCCAGUGAGAAUUGUGGCACCCUAUUCUAUCAUGGAUAAUAGACGUUGCUACAAAGUGUGGCUUACUGAAGCAGCAAUUUCAGGAAAGCAGCAGUAGAAUCGCAUUAAGGUUGAGAGGGAAGAAUUUGAGAUGGCAAGAAAAAUGAUGGAAGAAAUAGAGAGCUUGGCUAUAUUUUGACAGAGCCUUCAUGUUUGUUUAUGUAUUGAUGAAAUGUGAACUCAUUGACCUAGGGUAAUACAAUUAGAAUGCAACUAGAAUGGCCUUGCAUUUUGUGUGCAUCCCUAUAUAUUGAUGACCCACACAUGGGAACAGUUUGAAGUACAGCAUCACUUCAGUACAUCACAUUCAGCACAUCACAUUUCCACUGUGUACACAGCAAAGUCUUUGCUGCUAGAUGGCUCAUGACAAAUACUUUAACUGUGCUGACGGGAAAAAAUUAAAUGAAAUGGAAUUUUCGUUAAAGGAUAGCAUUUUUCUAGCAAUUUUAACAAAAUGCUUUCAUCUGCAGUAACCAUAGUAACAGAUCAGAGAAGCUCUCUCUCAAAGUGCCUCUCUGAAUGUAAUUAUGAAGAAAAGGAGGGAGAGAGAAAGAGAGAGAGAGAGAAAGGAAGCCGGUAGUUUGGAAUGGGGACAGCAGCUGAAAACUCCUCAAGGGCUUGAGCAGAGGUAGGUUGUGACAGAUUCAGCAGAACUUCCCUGGAUUCAUUUUCUGCUAAGUGGGGUGCUGAAAUGCCAGCCUCUUAAUGGUAACCCCUGAUCAGUGUACUUCUCCACCACCAUCCUGUCAGCACAGCACAGCACUUCCAAGCACUUCCAAGUGCUAGUCCCAAAAGUAAUGUAGAGGAACGCUUGGUAGAUGGCUGGGGCCAGUUUGCAAACCACUUUGCUAGUAAAGUCCCUUGCAGGAUCUAUGGCUGUGGCUGAGAUAUCUGUUUGGACUAUUUGGAUACAUAAAUUUCAGCUCGUCGAACCUGAGGAUCAGUAAAAGAUGCUUAGAGGAUUGAAGCUAACUGCUUUCUAACUAUAUCCAUAUUAGUUCUUUUGCACCUGUUGGCAACCUUCAAUAUGAUUGACCGUAGUGUCUUUUGAGGACAUCUGGCUGGUGUGGGUUUGGGAGACAUGUUGCAGUGGCUCUGUAUGGUUGGACUUUUCAAGAAGGUGGUCAGUCUUGACCCCCUUGUUAUUUAAUAACUACAAAACAUUCAUUGGAGAGGUCACCUGGGAUUUUGUGUUCAGCUGUGAUCAAUAUGUUGAUGACACCCAACUUAUCUUUCUUUUUCAACUGAUGCUAAGGAGGCUAUAGAGAUCCUCAAGCAUUGUUUGGGUACAGUGAUGGAGUGUUGACGAAGAAGGGUAAAAGAUGUGUGCAGAUGUAUCAUAUUCUGAUUAGCUUGGACUCUGUGAGUUUGCACUUGCCAUUUUCAAUACGUAUUUCUCAUAACCUCCUACAAAAAAAUAUUUUUCUCACCUGAUAGUGGGUCAGCUUCAUUUUCACCAAGUGUGGCUCUUUUAAGUUGCAAUCCCAGCUUCCGCUUCUGCUGCAUUACCUGCUUACACAUUUCUCACAGUGUCUGCAAUUCCACAGGCAUGGAAGGACACCAGAUGCAGGAGCAGAACAGAAAGAGUCUUCAAAAAUGUAUAGAAGAAAAUCUUGAUUGCUUUCUGAAAAAACUGAAUCAGAUUUGCUCUUGAGGAAAAGUGCAACACUCAAAAUGCAUUGGAC